GACAAAAUCGUGCUUCUGGGUCGUCAGGUCCUGCAUGGGUCCUCUUCCCAGGAGAUCCCUGGUGCAAGGAAUAAUCGACCUUUCCGGCUUGGCGCACCAAUUGCCUAGGAACUUCCUCGUUAAUUCCUGAGGAGAGAGGAAAAAGAAAUAUCGCGACUCGCCGAGGAAUUUUCGGGGGUGUUGGAUAAGGACCUCCAGGGGAAGAGGAACGCCGGGAACAAAUUGGAUUUCGCAAUGGGAGAGACGAGGACGAGACAAUACCCGAUGAGUGGUGUCGUGGGAGAGAGGACAAGGAUAAAGGGCUUCCUGGGCUCUUCACGGUUCGGCCAGUAGCUGAGCUUAUACGUGGUGCAGCCUUCGAGAGGGACGACGGGCGGAUGAUACUCCACUUUCGAAUUCCAUGGCUGAGGUUCCUUAAAAAAGGGAACCCACCUCGUCGCUCUCUGCCCGGAGUAUCUUUACAAAAUUUUACUUUCCUCUUCUCUAUACCU